GGCGCAGUGGCGGAGUGGUUAUCGCGUAUGACUCGAAUUUGAACGAUAUCAUAUUCCUUCGGGAGCACAGGUUCGAAUCCUGUCUGCGUCG